rnacentral:tRNA from 1 species
GCCAGUGUAGCUCAGUGGUAGAGCAGCUGAUUCGUAAUCAGCAGGUCAUCGGUUCAAGUCCGAUCUCUGGCUCCA